GACACUUUGGCCGAGUGGUUAAGGCGAUUGACUCGAAUUCUCGUGACUCGGAAUCAAUUGGGAUCUCCCGCGCAGGUUCAAAUCCUGCAGGUGUCG
rnacentral:tRNA from 1 species